rnacentral:rRNA from 1 species
CCUACGGGAGGCAGCAGUGGGGAAUAUUGGACAAUGGGCGAAAGCCUGAUCCAGCCAUGCCGCGUGUGUGAAGAAGGCCUUCGGGUUGUAAAGCACUUUCAGUGGGGAAGAAAGCCUUGGGGCUAAUACCCUCGAGGAAGGACAUCACCCACAGAAGAAGCACCGGCUAACUCCGUGCCAGCAGCCGCGGUAAUACGGAGGGUGCGAGCGUUAAUCGGAAUUACUGGGCGUAAAGCGCGCGUAGGCGGUCUGAUAAGCCGGUUGUGAAAGCCCCGGGCUCAACCUGGGAACGGCAUCCGGAACUGUCAGGCUAGAGUGCAGGAGAGGAAGGUAGAAUUCCCGGUGUAGCGGUGAAAUGCGUAGAGAUCGGGAGGAAUACCAGUGGCGAAGGCGGCCUUCUGGACUGACACUGACGCUGAGGUGCGAAAGCGUGGGUAGCAAACAGGAUUAGAUCCCCCGGUAGUC